UGCCUUCACUAUUGUAAGUCGCUCUGGAUAAGAGUGUCUGCUAAAUGACUAAAA
rfam:Salmo salar isolate Sally breed double haploid chromosome ssa11, whole genome shotgun sequence.